AUUGAACGCUGGCGGCAGGCCUAAUACAUGCAAGUCGAGCGAGCGGCGGACGGGUGAGUAAUGUAUGGGGACUCCCCGAUAGAGGGGGCUAACUACUGGAACCGGUAGCUAAUACCGCUUAUUAUCGGAUAACCAAUAUGGGAUUAGCUAGUAGGUGAGAUAAUGGCUCACCUAGGCGACGCUCCCUAGCUGGUCUGAGAGGAUGAUCAGCAACACGGGGACUGGGACGCGGCCCAAACUCGUACGGAGGCAGCAGUGGGAAAGAUUGCACAAUGGGCGCAAGCCUAAUGCAGCCAUGCCGCGUAUAUGAAAAAGGCCCUAGGGUUGUAAAGUACUUUCAGUCGGGAAGCGUUACCGACAGAAGAAGCACCGGCUAACUCCGUGCCAGCCGCCGCGGUAAUUC
rnacentral:rRNA from 1 species